CCUACGGGUGGCAGCAGUGGGGAAUAUUGGGCAAUGGAGGCAACUCUGACCCAGCAACGCCGCGUGAAUGAUGAAGGUCUUCGGAAUGUAAAGUUCUGUGAUGGGGGAUGAACACAAUGAAGGUAGCACAAUAGCAAGCCACGGCUAACUACGUGCUAGCAGCCGCGGUAAUACGGAGGUGGCAAGCGUUAUCCGGAAUGACUGGGCGUAAAGGGUGCGUAGGUGGUUUAGUAAGUUGGCGGUGAAAAACCGGGGCUCAACCCAGGGGCUACCGCCAAAACUAGUAGACUAGAGUGCAGGAGGGGUAAGUGGAAUGCCUGGUGUAGCGGUGAAAUGCGUAGAUAUUAGGAGGAACAUCAGGGGCGAAGGCGACUUACUGGACUGUAACUGACACUGAGGCACGAAAGCGUGGGGAGCAAACAGGAUUAGAUACCCUUGUAGUC
rnacentral:rRNA from 1 species